rnacentral:rRNA from 1 species
CAAGAAUAUUAGUCAAUGCUCGAAAGAGUGAACUAGCUAACUGAAAUCGAGGGAGUGUCUCCCUUUGAUAAAAUAGAGAAAAAUCAUGAUUUCUUUAUCAAUAGUGUUGUCCAAAGCUGGUGCCAGAAGACUCGGUAAUGCCAGAGACGCGAACGUUAGUCAUCUUUAACAGGCGUAAAGAAUUCGUAGGCUUCUUUGAAAGCAUAAAUCUUCAUAUAGUUUAACUUAGAAGAGUUAAGUGAUUCGAAGAUAGAAUCUAAUAGAGGAUGUUAAACAAUACUAAGAGUAGGGUUAAAAUCCACAAAAACUUAGUGGAGUGUCAAUGGCGAAGGCUAUUCAUCUAGUUAAAGAUUGACGCUGAGGAAUGAAGGUGUGGAGAACGAAAGAGAUUAGAGACCUCAUCAGCCCACACAGUCAACGAUGUAUGGUAGUCAGCUAGUAUUAAGAAUAUGUUAGUGGCGAAGUUAACGCGUUUACCAUACCGCCUUGCGAGUACGACUGCAAAGUUGAAAUC